CAGAGGCCAGGUUGUUUUUUUUUUUUUUUAAAUCCUCUGGCCUCACACUCCCAAGGGGGGUCUGUGGCGGGCUGUUCCCCGCAAUGGUGUCUGCCCGGCUCUCUGGGAGCCUCCAGUGAGAGACUCCCCUUACACAGGGUCUUUCCUCUCCCCCUUGGUUUUCUGGGGCUCACUUGGCAGCUCACUUUGUGAUUUGCGCUGGGGAGGAGUUUCUGAGUGCUGUAAGUCAACCUGCCCCUGAGUGAACCUAGACCAUCUAAUUGGGUAAUGUGUGCCGGAGGGAAUCCUCAGCCCUCCCUCCCUCCCUUCCUCCCUCCCUCCCUCCUUAUUUCUUCUUUCCUUCCCCCUCCCCUCCCCUCACCUCCCUCCCCCUCCCCUCCCUUUCCUUCCCCUCCCUUUCCCUUCUUUCCUUUUUUUUAAGGUUUAUUUGAGAGGUAGAGUUAGAGAGAGGAGGAGACAGAGAGAGAGAGAGAGAGAGAAGUCUUCCAUCCACUGCUUCACUCCCCAAAUGGCUACAAUGGCUGGAGCUGGGCUGAUCCGAAGCCAGGACAGGAGCUUCUUUCAGGUUUCCCAUGCAGGUGCAGGGGCCCAAGGACUUGGGCCAUCCUCCACUGCUUUCCUAGGCCAUAGCAGAGAGCUGGAUCAGAAGUAGAGCAGCCAGGACCUGAACUAGUGCCCAUAUGGGAUGCCGGCACUGCAGGCGGUGGCUUUACUCACCAUGCCACAGCACUACCUCUCAAAAUUGUACAUAUUUAUGGGGUACUAUGUGAUGUAGUCCAUGUGUAUGUUGUAUAAUGUCUGAUCAGGGUAAAUAUAUUUAUACUUGCAAGCAUUUAACAUUUCUUUAUGGUGAAGACAUCCAAAAGUUAUAUCUUCUAGUUUUUAAAAUAGAAAAGUAUACAGUGCACGAACAUUAUCUGUCUUCACCCUACCAUGCAAUAGAAGCCCAGAACUACUAUCAUGUAGUACCUGUCAGUGGAAUUUUCCUAACCCCUCCCUCCGCUCUUCCCUGCCUAGUCUUUGGUAAUCCCAUUUAUAUUUUAAACUUCUAUGAGAUCAUCUAUUGUUUUAGACGCCACAUGUGGGUGAGAUCACGUGAUGUUUGUCUUUCUGUGCUUUGCUUACUUCACUGAACAUACUGACCUCAAGUUCCACCCGUAUUAUUGCGAAUGACAGGAUUGCACCUUUUUAUGGCUGAGUAGUAUUCAGCUGAGUACAAGCACCUCAUUUUCUAGGUCACCCUCAUCAGUUGAUGGACACCUGGGGUUGUUUCGAUUUCUUGGCUAUUGUGAACAGCACGCGAUAUACAUGGGAGUGCAGACACCUCUACGACAGAUGGCUUUCCUUUUCCUUGGAUAUAUCCCAGAAGUGGGAUUGCUGGAUCAUGUGGUAGUUUGAUCUUCAGUUUUUUGCGGCACUUUUCCACAAUGGCUGUACUAAUUUACAUUCCCACCAGCAGUGCACAAGUGCUCCCCUUUCUCCACAUCCUCACCAACACUUGUUAUCUUUUAUCUUUUUGACAAUACUGUCUUAUUGGAGUGAGGUACUUGUGGUUUUGAUUUGCAUUUCCCUGAUGAUUAGUGAUGUUGAACAUCUUUUCAUGUACUUUUUGGCCAUUUGUCUUCCUUUGAAAAAUGGGUUUAGGUCUAUUGCCCAUUUUUUAAUUUUUUUUUUUUUUUUGCUUUGACUUGCUUGGGUUCCUUGUAUAUUCUGCAUAUUAACACCUUGUCAGAUAUAUAGCUUGCAGAUAUUUUCUCCCAUUCUGUAAGUUGUUUCUUCAUUCUGUUGGUUGUUUCCUUUGCUGUGGAAAAGCUCUUUAGUUUAUUGGAAUUCCAUUUGUCUAUUUUUGCUUUUAUUUCUUGAUGCUCAAAAUCCUUGCCUAUUCCAAUGUCUUGAAAUGCUUGCUUUCAUUGAAUAAUCUCACAGUUCCAGGUUUCACAUUUAGGUCUUCAAUCCAUUUUGAGCUGAUUUUUAUAAAUGGGGAGACAUAGGGACAUAGUUUCAUCCUUCUGCAUAUAAUAUAUCCCAUUUUCCUAGUACUAUUUAUUAAAAAGACUGUUCUGGGGCACUGUGUUAUGGUAGGUUAAGCAUCCACCUGUGGCCGGUUCGAGUCCCAGCUGCUCCACUUCUGAUCCAGCUCUCUGCUAAUGGCCUGGGAAGGCAAUGGAGGAUGGUCCAUGUCCUUGGGCCCCUGCACCCACGUGGGAGACCCUGAAGAAGCUCCUGGCUUCUGAUCGGCCGAGCUCUGUUGCAGCCACUGGGGCUGUGAACAAGUGGAUGGAAGACCUCUCUCUCUGUCUCUCCCUCUGUGUGUAACUCUGCCUCAAAUAAAUAAAUAAAUCUUAAAAAAAAAUACAAAAAACAAAAAACUUUGUUCUUUCUCCAAUGGUUGUUCUUAGCUCCUUUGUCAGAGAUCAGUUGGUUGUAGAUGUGUGGGUUUCUGUUCAAUUGGCCAAUGGAUCUGGUUUUAUGCCACUAAAUGCUGUUUUAAAUACUGUAGCUUUUAAGUGUAUUUUAUAGUCAGGUAGUAUAAUGCUUCCUGCUAUGUUCUUUAUGCACAAGAGUGCUUUGGCUAUUUUGGGUCCUUUGUGGUUCCAUCCAUCUAUUAGUAGUGUUUUCUAUAGUUCUAUGAAAAAUGUUAUUGGGAUUUUUGACAGGGAUUCCAUUGAGUCUGCAAAUUCCUUUGGGUGGUAUGCACAUUUUAAUGACAUUGAUUGUUUCAAUCCAGGGACACAGGAUGUCUCUCUAUUUUUUUGUGUCCUCUUCAAGUCAGUGAUUUACAGUUUGCAUUAUAGAGAACUUUCACUUCUUUUGUUAAAUUUAUUCCCAGGUAUUUUGCUUUUUUUUUUUUUUUUUUUUUUUUUUUUGUGGCUGUUGGAAAUGGAAUUUCUUUCUGGAUUUCUUUUUUCAGAUGAUUCAUUAUGGCUGUAUAACAGUGUUACUGAUUUCUGUAAAUUGACUGUAUCCUGUAACUUUGCUGAAUUUGUUCAUUAUUUCUAAUAGCUUUUUGGUGGGAUGUUUAGGCUUUUCUGUGUAUAAGAUGAUGUCACCCGCAAACAUUGACAAUUUAAAUUCCCUCUUUCCAGUUUGGAUACCUUUUGUUUCCUUCUCUUGCCUAACUGCUCUAACUAGGAGCUCCAAUACUGUGUUGUUUUGUUUCGGACCCUAGAGAAAAAGCUUUUCCCCACUGAGUGUGAUGCUAGCUGUUGGCUUGUUAUAUCUGGCUUUUAUUAUGUUGAAGUAUGUUCCUUCUAUCCAUAAUUUGGUCACAGUUUUUAUCAUGAAGCAAUGUAGAGUUUUAUCAGCUGUUUUUUCUGAUUUGAUUUUUGUCAAAAUCCUUGCAUUCCUGGAAUGAAUCCCACUUGAUCAUGGUAAAUGUUCUUUUUAACAUGCUGUUGGAUUCAAUCUACUAGUAUUUUGUUGAUGAUUUUUGCAUCUAUAUUCAUCUAGGAUAUUGGUCUGCAGCCUGGUUUCUUUUUGUUGUAUCCUUGUCUUGCUUUGGUAUCAAGGUAAUAUUGGCCCCAAAGAAAGACUUGAUUGGGAUCAAAUCUGAUUGGUGACCUUUAACAUUCCUUCCUUGGAUAGUUGUAUCAUUUUAUUUUAUUUUAUUUUUUGACAGGCAGAGCGGACAGUGAGAGAGAGAGACAGAGAGAAAGGUCUUCCUUUGCCGUUGGUUCACCCCCAAUGGCCACUGUGGCCGGCGCACCGCGCUGAUCCGAAGCCAGGAGCCAGGUGCUUCUCCUGGUCUCCCAAGCAGGUGCAGGGCCCAAGGACCUGGACCAUCCUCCACUGCCUUCCCAGGCCACAGCAGAGAGCUGGACUGGAAGAGGAGCAACCGGGACAGAAUCUGGCGCCUUGACCGGGACUAGAACCUGGGGUGCCAGCGCCACAGGUGGAGGAUUAACCUAGUGAGCUGUGGCGCCGGCCUAAGUUGUAUCUUUUUCUGGGUUUGGAAAGUUUGAUUGUCUCCUUGAAAGUGCCUUCUACUUCUUUGGCAUGCUCAAGUCCCUCUUGAAUUCCAACAACUUGAAUUUUUUUUUUCAUGUUAUCCCAUAUUUUACAUAAACUUUAUUCAUUCCUGUUGGUUCUUUAUUCUUUUUUCUCUUGAACUGCAUAUUUUAAAUAACCUGUCUUUGAGUUCACUGAGUCUUUCUGUUUGAUCUGUUUUGCUAUUGAUGCUAUUGCAUUUAAAAUUAAAAAUUUUUAAAUUUAUUUUAAAUUUUAUUUAAUGUACUUUUCAGAUGAAGGAUUUCUGCUUCAUUUUGCUUAAUUACUUCCAUCUCUGUCAACUCUCUCUAUUGGAAUAUUGAGCCGUUUUUCUGUGUUCUCUUGAAUUUUGUUGAGUUCCUUAAAACAGUAUUUUGAAAUCUUCGUGUGAACAUUUGGAAACCUGAAUUCCUGGAUGGUUGGUUUCUGACACCGUAUUUUGCUCUUUAGGUGAGAUCAUGGCUCCUUGGAAGUUCCUACUGCUUGUUGGAGUACAACAUCCUCUGUGCAUGAAGGGAAAAGCUUUUCAGCUUUUGCGCUGUUUCCAAGCUGAAGCCAAGAGAAUGCUGGCUGCUGAAGGACUCUGCAGGGUGCCCUAGCCUUGCUCUCCUGUAAUUUGGCCAUUUAACCCUGCUCCAUCUCACGUUCCUCCACGAUUUCUCGUGUGUGUGUGAAGGAAGGCUCUGGAUCUCAACUGGGACACUCUUCCUGAUGACCCAGAUGAAGCCCCGUCUCUGCUGGACCCAAAGCCCUCGGCAGGUUCUGAUCCCAACGCUCGGAAAACACAGUGAGAUCACCCUGCUCGUCAUCUGUCUGCUGCUGGGUUGGGUGCUGCUUGAGGGUAGAUUGUGUCUGACUGGCUCACUGCUGCUUCAGGGCCAGGAACUGCAGAUGACGUUUUAGAAAGUGCAAUGUGUGAAUGAUGAAGUUAUUUUGCUUCUCUGUGCCUUAGUUCCUCCAUCAGCACCUGAAGGCUGACAGUGGUAUCUACCUUGCAGGGUUGUUGAGAGGCCCAUACCUGGCAUGUAAUAAGUGCUCAUCUACUGACCUCACAGUAAUUCUGGGAGGUAGACACUGCUAUCCAUCUUAGUCCAUUCUGUGCUGCUACAAGAGAGAAAGAAAGAAGUAAACCUCCCUGUCUCAGUCAGAUAUGGGGGUGCAAGGGCGUCACCUGCUCAGCCCUGUGUGGGGGGCAGCUCUGGUCACAUCACAUCAUGGCAGAUGGCGUCACCGUAGGAGCACACAGGAGAGGGAGCGUUCACAUGGCAAGCCUGGAAGCAAGAGACCCGGCUCACUCUUUGUAGCGUGUGCUUACAGAGAACUAAGUUUUUCCGCGAAGCCAGCAUGAUUCCAUCCAUGAGGGUGGCGCCUACAGUGAAUCUGCUCCCUUCCACUAGGCACCCUCAUUAAGGUCCCAGCCACCUUCAUGCCACCACACUGGGGACCAAGCUUGCAGCACAUGCACCUUUGGGAGACACACUCAGACAUAUCCAGACCACAACACUGUCCCUGUUUUUACAGUGGGGAAUCUGUGUCCUUUAAAAGUUAAGUGACUUGUCCAAGGCCUUGGUGAGCAGCAGGAUUUGAACUCAGAUCCAUCUGAUGCCAAAACUUGAGCCCCUCCUACAGCGUACCCGUAGCUCCCCCUGGUAAGCUGGUGUAGCUUAUUUGUUCCACUGGAUUUAACAGUAGGCACCAGAUACUUUCAAGUUAAUUGGGGGGCCAGUGCCUGUCCCUGAGAAGCUCCAAGAGUGUUUAUUUUAGGCCUUAAUUUAAAGAUGCUGUGUGCUCUAAGCUCCAUUACCUCUCCCACCCCCAUCCUAACCUGCAGUCUGCCCAGCAUCUCCUGCCUGUGGACCUGCUCGCUGCCUGGAACAGAGCCAUGGGUAGGCCAGGGUUUCCUGUGGCCUUCACCCUGUCCUGUAAGUGGUCACGUGUGGGCCCUGGGAGCAGUGUCAGCCUCCAGAGUCUGCUUCCUCAAGACUUUGAGUGCAGGGGCACUUCUGUAUUCCCUUACAAUAGUGAGGUGUGCUGAUCACUUUCAUUGUGGGGCGAUAUAGAUAAUGAAAUUUACCAUUCUAAUGGCUUCUAAGUGGACAGUCAGGGGUGUUAGGUAUAGUCACAGUAGUGACAACUAACACUGCUGUCUUUCCAGAACUUUUACAUCGUCCCACAUAGGACCCAUGUAACGGCAACUCCCAUGCCCUUUCUCACCCAGUCUCCGGCAGCCACUGUUCUCCAGUCUAUCUCUGUGCAUCUGCCUGCCUUAUAUAUGUAGACUUAUACAAUAUCUGUUUUUUUGUGCUUGGCUUAUUUCACUAAGCAUAAUGUUUCCACAAAUCAUCCACAUUAGCAUGUACCAGAAUGUCACUUGGUUUUAGGGCAAGCUACUGUUCCAUUGCGCUACUGUGUAGCACAUGUACUACUAUCUUGCUUUGAGUACCUGUGGGUGUAUAUGUUCUUGGGAGUAGAAUCGCAGGAUCAUAUGACAAUUCUACAUUGAACUUUUUGAGGAACCACCAAAUUGCUUCCACAGCCACCACACCAUUUUACAUUCCCACCAGCAAACCACAAGGGUUCAAAUUUCUCCACACCCUCUGCAACACUUGUUAGUCUUCAUUUUGUUUUGUUUUGGAUAGUAGUUGUCCUAAAGGGUGUGACAUGGUAUCUUAUUGUGGUUUGAUUUGCAUUGCUAAUGAUUCACUCUUCAUGUGCUGUGGGCCCUUUGUGUGCCAUCUUUGGAUUCAUGUCUAUUCAGACUGCAGCCUCCUAGGUCCCUGGUGCAGGCUGCCAGUGGAGGGAGGAGUGGCUUGAUGCCACCCACACACUGGCUGGGUAGCUAUGAUUUGGGGUGGUGUCUUCAGGGCUGGGGCUGCCAGGGGCUGGCAGGUGCCUGGGGCCUUCAGGAUAAGCUAGCACGUGGCUCACAGGGAAGGGGUGAGGCUUUGAUGCCAGAGUCCUUGUGCAGGCAGAGUCUCCAGGGCUGGAGUCCAGGUGUGGGGGAGGCGGUGGCCAGGGAUGAUAAGAAAAGUCAGUUAUGAGCCACAGCAGCUGUUACUGAGGAGGCAAUGGAUUGUCUGCAACACUGGGAGAGGGUGGAGUGUCUACUCUAACACGUGGCAGCCAGGCAAGGCCUGCUCUGAGUACAGGCAGCUCCUGCCUCUGAGUGCCCCAGAACCCAGGCCGAGCAAAUAGCUGUAUCCUCAUAUCUUGCCCCGUCUCCUUCUUCCCCAGCCCCCCUGCAUAGCCUCACUGAGUACUGGUGCCCAACGGUGAGCUGGCCCGUGUGUGUGUGUGUGUGUGUGUGUGUGUGCGCGCGCGCGUAGGCGUGCAUGUGUGAUGUGCUACAGAGGGAGGACUUGGGAGGAGUGUGAAGGCGACAGGAAAAUGUCCCACUUGUACUUGUCAGUGAGUUGGUGUUCGUUUCUGAGCCCAGGCACAGCAGAAGGAACGCUGAGCUAGCAGUGAAGACGUGUGAGACCUCCCCUGGGUUGGCCUCUCACCAGGCGAGGGUGGGAUUUACAGUAUGAGUGGCUCUCUGCUUCAUCAGGGUGAGGUUCUCUCUCUUUCCUUGUGGGACUGGGGCUGCAGGGGACCUGCUCCGAGUCUAUCCCCGCUGAGUAGUGUGGUGGCUGCUGUGCACGCUGCCUAGGCCCUUGCAAUUUAGUCCUGCUUCUAGCACCAGAAAGCAGCCUCUAUUUAGGAAUUUAUAAAUACAGUGAAAAGAUGAGCUAAGAAGUGAGCCUAUUGUAUUCUGUCUACUCAACAGUGAACCAAGCCAUAAUUGUACUUAGGUCAGCCACACACAAUAUGAGGCUCCACUCAGAAGGGGCUGUGUGCUAAUUGCCAACCCCAGCUCCUCGGGGUAACAUUGACCUCCUUAGACAGAAGCCAUUUAAGCACCAUCCAGUUCCCCUGUCAUCUGCCUUGUCCUGAUUCUGCGGAUUCUGCAGAACUAUUUCUGCUUCCCAUGGUGGUCCGUGACCUGGACAGCUCCACUCUGUUCAUUUCCUUGGUCAAAGUGGACAUAGCAUUUUCCCAGAACUCUCAGCUUUCCUUUUUAGGGGGACCACAAUUGAAUGCUCAGAUUUCCAAGUUUUCAUUGCUGCAUUUCUGAGUUUCUAGCUAUUUCUGGCCCUACCUGCUACUGCAGAGAUGGAUGUAAUAGGGAGAGUUGGGAGGUCCACUAUUCUCCAGUAUGAAAGGAUCGUGGCUACUGCAAACACAGUCUUAGCUUAGAGCUCAUUGAGGCCCCCAGGGCUAAGCCCAGAAGAUCAGCUGUCAGCUCUAACAGUGGUCAAUUUCUAGCCCUCACUUCACCCUGCUUGGCCAGGGUGACCCUCGUUCCCCCAUUGCCUGGGUGAGUGUGAUGGUUACUUUAUGUUCCAACUUGACUGGGCCUCCAGGCUAAGGCUUGUUUCUGAGGAUGUCUUUAAGGAUGCUUCUGGAUGAUACUGUAUUUGAAUUGGUAGACCCAGUAAAGCAGAUUGCCCUCUUCCUAUGCAUUGAAAGCCUGGAGAGAAUACAAAGGUGAGUGAGAAAGAAUUCUUUCUGUGUGUCUUUGAGCCAGGAUAUCAGUCAUUUGUCUUUGGACUCUAAAUUGAGUUGGAACAAACACCAACCUCUCUCCUGGAUGCCAGUUGGCUGACUACAGAUCUAGCACUUCUAAGUCUCCAUGAUUGUGUGAGCCAAUUUGUUAUAGUGAAUCAUGUCUCUGUCUCUAUCUCUAUCUCUAUCUCUAUCUCUAUCUCUCUAUCUCUCUAUCUCUAGUCCUAUCUCUCCCUCUCCUUUUCCCUCGCCUUGUUUCUAUCUCUAUCUCUAGCCCUAGCCCUAUCUCUAUCUCUACCUCUACCUCUAUCUCUAUCUCUUUCUCCCUCUCCCUCUCCCUCUCCCUCGCCUUGUUUCUAUCUCUAUCUCUAGCCCUAACCCUAGUCCUAUCUCCAUCUCUAUCCCUAUCUCUAGCCUUGUUUCUAGCUCUAGCUCUAGCUCUAUGUCUCUCUCUUAUUUUGAUCUCUCCUAUUGGUUCUGUUUCUCUGGAGAACCCAGGGUAAUACAUUAGGGCUUAAUCAACUGAGCAGAGCUGGCCAGGUAGAUGCUCCAAUUUGUCUCCCUCCUCCUUUAAAUAUAUAGAACAAGGUUAGGUAUUGAUUAGAGGGUCCUCUGGCAAUAAUCUCAUUGGGCCAUUUAUUUUUUUAAUGUUUUAUUUUAUUCUCAUGUCAUUUUAUUUUAUGGGAUUGGUUGUUUUUGCAACCACAUUCCUGCCUGGCUCUCUGCAGUUAUUUUGAUCACAGCUGCAGUCCCAGGGCGGUCUCCUCUCCAGGGGGGUCUGGCAGAAAGGGGAGCAUAUGUCAGAAGGCUGGGGAAAUGGGCACAAACCUUUGCUUAAUGUUUUAUUAGAGUACAUGCAGCAAUGCAUAUAAAGCAAGUCCCAUGGUGGGAGAAUUCAGAAUAAAUUACUGCUUGCAAUUUCCUGUUUGGCAUUGAUCUUGCAGAUUGGGGGCUCAAGAUGGGAACGACUGGGUAUUAUUAUACCAGGAUCUGUGUUGAAGUUUCCACAAAUUCCUCAUGAAUUGUGUGAUGUCAGAGAUGUGCAGAUCCUUAGAGACAAGCCAGUCUGCCUCACAAAAUCUUGAUGAGGCUCAGAAACCCAGACAGGCCCGGGAUGUCCUAGCAAAGAGGGACGCAGUCUUGGCCAUGAGAUGAGUUCAGCUUCAGCAUCCAGAGGCACUGAUUCUAACAGGUGCGAGAGAUUGUUUGAAGGCAGCCCAAGUCUGUUCUGACUUGUGGAGGGUCCCUUCAGAGCCGUUGCCUGCCUUUGCCCUCCUCCUUGCUCUUUAAUGUGGGUUUAUGGCCCAGCCUUGAGGCAUUUCCAGUCGUGACUCCUUUGGCAGCCAGGGCAACUCUGAGCAGCUGAGAGCUGUCAGGGGAGCAGAAAGUGCCCAGGGCCUGACUAAGCCAGUUACUUAGUGGGACCCUUGGCUGUGUUCUCUUUCAGGAGGUGAUAAACCCUGCCCUGCCAAUGUCACAGGUGACAGAGCCAGGGCAAAGGAGUUCAGCCAAUGGUUUCAGUGUCCUUCUCUUUUGUAACUACAUGGCUCCAGGACCCAACAGGGUUCAGUGCUGAAAGGAAAAUGUCUUCAGGAGCCAGCCACCCUCUUGAAAUUGUCUCCCAAAAUCUCACUGCCCCUAGGCACCUCCCUGCUGCUCCCAAGGCCAACCCUGCUGCGGGGGAGCUGGCCAAGCCAAUCUCAGGCAGCCCUAAACAGUGUGUUCUCCAGUGUCCACUCUAUUGCAACUUCCUCAUGCCCAGUGACUACAUCUCACUCUCCUUAUAUAACCCAUAGACUCGUGCCCCUUCUCUGCUACCAUGUGACCAAUCCCCCGUACCCAUAAAAUGUAGUGUUUCUUUCUCAUGGAUUUUGUGGGACAGGAAUUUCAGCACGUUACGGAUGCUGCUUCCGGCCCAGGGUCUCUGAGUUCGCAGGUAGAUGUCAGCUGGGGCUGUGGGCAUCUGAGAGUUGUACUGGGGCUGGGGAUCCACACUUGAGGGGAAGCUGCUGCUGGCCACUGGAGGGGGCCUUAGUUCUGUCUGCCGUGCAGCAUGGGUGGCUCAUGGCAGCUGCAUCCCCCAGAGGAAGAGGUCUGAGAGCCCAAGGCAGAGGCUGCAGGGCUUUUUAUGACCCAGUCUCACUGCCUCUCUAUUGUACUGGUCACACAGGACCAGCCCUGAUUUGGUGUGGGAGGGAAUUACACGAGGGCAGGAAUCCCAGGAGACAAGGGCCAUGGAAGACUGGCUACCUCGGUCCACCUGCUGGCUCCUGCUGGUUUACCUUGUGAAUAUGCACUCCAUGACAUCCUAUUGCGUUCCAGCAUCAGCUUAAAGUCCUGGACCUUGGGUGAAUUCCUGCCCAAUUACUCUUGGUAGAGAGGCCUAUGAACAACAUAAGCCUAUUAACUUCCUUGUGCCUGAUACGCAAUGAUGAGACAGACACAGGCUAACCACUGUAGAUUCUCCUAUUAAGGGGGAAAAAGUGUGUGUGUGUG